UGGCUCAGUGGUAGAGCGUUUGCCUUGUAUGCAAUAGGCCCUGGGUUCAAUUCCUCAG
rnacentral:tRNA from 1 species